UUAAAAAGCUCGUAGUUGAACCUUGGGCCUGGCUGGCCGGUCCGCCUCACCGCGUGUACUGGUCCGGCCGGGCCUUUCCCUCUGUGGAACCCCAUGCCCUUCACUGGGUGUGGUGGGGAAACAGGACUUUUACUGUGAAAAAAUUAGAGUGCUCCAGGCAGGCCUAUGCUCGAAUACAUUAGCAUGGAAUAAUAGAAUAGGACGUGUGGUUCUAUUUUGUUGGUUUCUAGGACCGCCGUAAUGAUUAAUAGGGACGGUCGGGGG
rnacentral:rRNA from 1 species